AGAAACACUCUGUAAUUUCCUUUAUAGAACAGGAACGGACUCAAAAAUACUCUAAAAAAAUAUCAAAUCAUGUACGUUUAAUCCCUCGUCCUCUACAGAUAGCACAGUUCAAUUCCAUGAAUACCACUUAAUUACAACACUCUACUUUAAUCUCUAUUAAAUAUCCAUUACCACUUGCUUCAAUAUAUACCCUCUCCUCCGCACUAAACACACACGCACACACGGAUUAAAGGGACGAAACAAGGUGGGAUUUGGAGAGAAAACAAAACACAAAGGAGGGAACGGACAAGAAGCCAAGAAUGCCUAACCCACUUCGGAUUUGGAUCUUUUCUUUCUCAACUUAAAAGAAAAACACAAAUGCAGAGGAAAAUUAUCACUACAAACGAGCCGAGUAGGUUCUCAUUCGAUUGACAAGCUGAGAAUAUUUGCAGUC
rnacentral:lncRNA from 1 species